rnacentral:lncRNA from 1 species
UUGAGCUGGAGAGAGAAUCACCCCAUAGCAUUUAAUGGUAUUCUGUGAGACACGAAGACUCUAGUCUUCUAAACUUAAAAGUGGUUAGGUAGUACCUUAAUCAUCAAAGAUUUUUCACUUACAUGUAACUGGUUAAUUCAUAUAGAGUUUGUUUAGAACAGAAACUUUAAAAGGAGGGAACAAACCUGAGCAAUUUUUAAUCAAAAUUAUCAGUUAGAAAAAGAAUUUAAGACAAAGAUUUAUUGUCCUGAAAGAGUCAACUCACUCAUAUCCAAAACUUAGAAUGUCAGAGACUUUUGAAAGUUUUCUGAAUGUGUCAACUUCUUCAGCAAUGAGAGAUUCAAUUAAUGUUGUUUCUAGGUUCCUUAGAGUUUUAUCCUCUGAUGAUAACACUUAAUUGUGAAUUACAUUUAAGUGAUUUUUACUUUAUAUUUUCCAUUUGUUACAGAAAAAAAGUCAUAAAUAUGACAGACUUAAAAAUUGUGGCAUUGAGCCAGGGUUUGCAAAUUUGGCAAUAUUAUUUUACUUAAAAUAUUACACUUUUUAAAAUAACAUAAACAUUAAGGAUAAUAGUCAAAUAAUACUGUAUUUUCAGCUUGUUCACAUUAGAAUAUAGAACAACGCAUUGUAAACUUCUCGGAAUAAAAUCUAAGUCAAAACCAAUUUAUGUUCAAAUCAUUUGAACAACAAAUAUGAAUAUUGUUACAUCACCUCUGACUCUCUGACUAGUAAGAAACUAUGCAUUUCCAUACCCAAUGAAACCUCAAUUCCUACAGCAAUUCUACUUUUAUUGCCUCCCAAGAACUAUUUCUUCAUGGUCAAUAUCACUCUUUAAAAGCUAGCAAAAUAUGACUUUCUUCUGAGGUUUGGGCAAUCUGGAUCAAUAUUUAUGUAUCUAACCACUUGAAAGGCUGUCUCCUUUUUUGGCCUUUUAAAUUAAAACUUCCAUAAAAUGAAGCAAAAUAUGAAAACAGCUAGUUGAUUUAUCAAUAAUGUGAAACCCUCCUUCUGAAUUUUUUUGGUAAAAAUUACCACACUGAAACCAAAACUUAACCUUGGCUUGGACUCUCAGAUAAAUUGCUUUUGUAUUCUUUGACUACAAAGUAUUCUCAAAAAGAAGAAAUUAUUUCUGAUGGUAGAUCAAACUCUAGCCAAGAAGGUCUAGAUAAACUAGAGGACUGUAUAAUUAUCUAAAGUAAUUCAGGGGGACUUUUAGAAAAAUUCUUUAAUUUUUGUUCCUGUGUAAAAAUUAUUAUUAAUGGAUGGCAGCCCAAAUUACUAUUCUUCUUUUAAAAUUUGUUUCAAGUGUGUCACCAGGCACUCAUAAAAUUCAUUUAUUUGUUAUAUAACUCAAUGACCUGAAAUAAUAGGUGCUCAUUGCUUUUUCAUUUGAUCCUUAAAAACAAUUUUAUUCUGUCUAAAAAAAAUUCUCCUGCUAAAAUCCAAAUGAUUACCUGGCUAUAGGAGGAGUCCCAUUUUAUGAACAUGUAUGAAAUAUUUAGUUGGAUUCAGAUGAAAUGCAACUUAGAGAAAGGAAUGGAUACCAGUAGAGAAGAUGGAAAGAGACACAAAAAUCAGACUUUGCUUACAUCAAAAUUAGGUCUGUUGUCUAAUCCUGUUAACCUAGAGGCAAGCUGAAAAUAGAUGGUAAGGAUAAAUAGAUUUUUAAACACAGUAUUUAUAUUUAACAGAAUGUCAUAAAAAUGACAGAAUGCCAUGAAAUUCAGCAUGUCAAAACUUUGAUAAAACAAACAAGAAAUUUAAUAAAUAUGCUAAUUAGAGUGAAUAUUUAAAGGGACAAAAAUAACUUGUCACAUCAUAGAUGUCUCCCCAGUGCAGAAUUUAUUAUCUGCUGGGAAAAUUUGGUUUUAUGUCUUCAAUCAAUAUUUGCUGCAUUAUCUAAUUAAACAUUAGUAUAUUUUUUGUGCUAAUGAGAAACCAUGCAAGAGUCCAAAUAUCAAGUGUGGUGACAGCUUGAAUCAGUUGAGUUUGGUGUUCAUGAAUAAAAUUCUUGAUGAAUGUGAAAUGAAUGGUUUAUAUACAUAAGUUUUAUGUGCAGUAAAUUAAUUAGGCUUUAAAACUUGUUAGCAUGCUUAGCUCCUCUUUUUUCCAUUGAAUUAUCUUCCUAUCUUCCUUCCUUCCUUCCUUUCCUUCCUUUCCUUCCCUCCCUCUUUGCUUUAUUUCUUUCUAGCUCUUAUAAGAUAAAUGACAAUAGUACUUUACUAUUUGGGCUGGAGCCUCCCUUUUUCACUUUCACAUGAUUGAACACUUUGUGGAUUUGUGAGAAAAGGGGAAAGAAGAUGAGCACGUAGAUGCAGAUCAGUUGAGGAUAGAAGUGACUGAGAGAAUUGGGACCUUGACUUCCAGAGACUGUCAGUCAAGAGAAAUGUGGGUCUAUAAAAAUCUAUGUGUGUUCAUUUUCAUUGAAUUUAAACACUUUUUCAAGAAGUAUCAGGGUCAAUCUGUUUGGACAAUCUCCUAUUUUUACCCCCUUACAAAUGUCUUAAGUUAGAAAAACCUCUUAUUUUCAAGUAGUCAUUUUUUUUUAUGUGAGUACCACACUGCUAAAGACUGAAAUAGAAAAAAAAAAUGCUUUUUCUGUUUGUAGGGAAAUUGCUUUCUGAAAACUACUCCCAAUAAGAUGUAUACAUCAAAUGCAACUUGAUUUUACUGGCUCUUUAUCUAGAGAUAACUGAUGCACUGUCUUCUUUCUUAGAUACCCUUCUGUAAUUCAGCUUGGCAUAGUAUGAUGUUUUGAGUUCUUAUUGAGGGUUUGGAAACAUUUGUCAUCAAUUUUAUGUCUACUCUAUUGAAAAAGCAAUAUACAAUGUAUUCCAUAUUUCUUAGCUCUGUGUCUUUGAGGUUUUAAACCUAUAUUCAGAUAGCUGUUUUUAGCUACAAUUUUGAGUAUUCACCAGAAUUUACAAAUUGCCAUUUUAUUAAAUACAAAAAAAAAAAAAGUACAGCUUGGAUCAAGAGAUCAAACAUUUACAAAUCUCAAUCCAAAGCCAUUAUUUUUCAGGGAAAAUUAAAUCAUUUCUAGCAGAGUAUUUGACUCCUAAGGGAAAAUAAGUCAAAUAUCUUCUUUAAGAGUAAGGGCAUUCUUCCAUUGUAGGUAUUUCUAAUUGACUUUAUAAUAAUUUGAACAAAUCUUGAACAAGAUUUAAAGAAUUUAUAAUCUCCCAAACUUAAAAUUGUAUUCUUUCUGGUUUUUUAUUUUUAUGUAUUAAGAUUAUAUUCAAACCACUUAAUUAUCUUCAUGACAUAAGUUUGUGUUAAUAGAAAAUUAUACAGAAAAAAACAUGAUUUGUUCCUCUGUGGAAAGAUAUGCUUCAAUGAGUUAAAUACCCUUGAAUUUUGGUUCUCAUUUCUUAUUUGGACUUUUCUGUUAUGUACCUCAGGGGUCUUAAAUUCUAACAGAUGAAGUAGUCAAAGGGGUAUAAAAUACUUGAAAAAAAUUAAAACUUCAAAAGGGACGAAUUUCUCUGUUAACUUUUGUUUAUCCUAUACUGACUUAUUUUGAAAUUGUGAAAAAACAGGCAGCUACCAUAUAAAUUGGUAUCUAUGAAAAUACUGAUUACUUUCUUCCUGUGAUUUUCACUGUUAAGAAAACCUUUGUCUUGAAAUGAUGGACAAUCUUAAUACUUGUUCAGAUAAAGAAAUGUGACUUUCAAUACCUUUACCAUUUGUAUUUCUUUAGGGAAAUAUUUUAAUAAUGAUUGUAAAAAUAGAAGAAAUAUGGUUGAGAAAAAUAGAAGAAAUUAAGAUGAAAUUUGAACAGUUGUAAUCCACAGUCCCAUUUUUCCCUCUAUUUUAUUGCCUUCUACUAAGUUAUUGAAGGCCCAGAUCUGCAAAAUUUACAAGCUACUAAUUCAUUGUCUCCUUUAAGAAUUUGGAGCAAAAAUUAUUCCGACUAUGCGGAAAUGAAUUCACAUCAUCAUGGCAGGUUUUGACUAUGAGGGAAUUCAGGUUAGGUUCAAAUAGAAUAAUGGUCCAUGGAGAAAAAUACUUUCUGAUUUUUCUUCAAGUUGGAUGGAAAGGUUUUUCUUUAUUUAAAAAAAAAAAAAAAAAGUCCUCCUGAGAAUUUUGCCUUCGAAAAAGAAGUUUUAUAACAGCUGCCUGUAGCUACAUUAUAACUUCGGUAAUUAAGUGACAAAACUGUCUCAUUAUGCUUUUAAAAUACUGAUUAAGUGCAUUCCAGAAAUAAUACAUAUCAUUCAUUUCAAAAUCAACCUACCUGAAUUCUGACUCUUCAAUCAUGAGUAGCCAUUUUACAAAACCAAAGGGUCUCAUUUCCCAAACAGUACUUUAAAUAUCAUCCUAAUAGUAAUAUCCUAAUAGUAAUAAUCCUAUUAAUACUCACUUCAAUGCAUAAAAUAAACAGCCAAUGCACUUCCAUCAAGUCUGCAGGCACUAUAUAAUAAUAAAUAGGUUUCCAAAAUCACUUAAUAAAAACACACAGUUAUAAUGUGCUCGGCCUUCAUUAGCAUCCUCUGCAUGGGGUGGUUUUCAUUUAACCUGAAUUAUUUUAACAUUUUGGCUAAUUUGUUUGCUGCAAUUUCAUGGGUCUAAAUUUUUGGUUUGGUUUGCAAUGUAAAUCAUAUUGUAUAUCUGCUCCUUUGUUAUUAGAUUUACUUUGUGAAUAAUAUCUUUUAAAAAUUGAGUUAUCAAAAACUUAAAUUAUAAUGUCAUCAACUAAUACCAGGUAAAUAUACUAAUAUAUAUGUAGGGCAUGAUUAAAUUGCAUAUAUUUUGAAAUGUCAAACUAUUUUUUGUUUUUUUAAAAAAAUGAAUGCAUCUCUUAAACCUGUACCAUUAAUUUUAAAAAAGUUUCAUUUGGUAUUUCAUAUUAUAUUUUAAAAUAUUUUUCUUUAUCUAGUAGUACAGGUUUAAAGAAACUUUUUCUGAUUGAAAUGAUAAAAUAUGCCUCAUUUCACUAGAAUUUUAAGAAUAAUACAUGUAAAAGUAUAACUCAUAUAAGAUUAUAAAUAUCCACAAUAUCUUCUUUGAUUUUCAUGUAACACCACUUUUUACUCAUUCUUUUAUUUGUUAUUAUUCGAAAUCAUUCACAAUGUAAAUAGCAUGUUUCAUGAUGUAAAAUGUCUUUGCAUUUACAGACUGCAGAACAAGGUGAAUUUGUAUAUGAAAAAUAAGUGAUGGAAACGUGGGAUUCUUAUAAAACAAAGUGGAAAUGAUAGUUCUGUGUUAUAUUUACAUAAUUCAUUACAAAAUUGUCUAGUUAAGUCAUGCAUUUAUUUACCUUAAAAGUGUCCAAACUGUCACUUAUAAAAUAUUUAAAUCAAUAAAUAAUACCAAAAAGGAGUCUGAA